GAUCAAAGACUUUUCUCUCCCAGUACGAGUCCAGCACUGUCAAUCACAAGUGCUCUGACCAAGGAGAACAUGGAUGGGACUGUAGGAGCAGCUGGCUCCUGUGACUGUGAUCCACUUUGUCAUCCCCUUUUGCUGGUCCACUUCAGCUAAGGAAGCACCUGGGAGAAGUUUGGUGUUUACUUAAGGCACACCUUGGUGUUCCAGCCCAACCUCUGGAAUUGGAAUAUGGAGAAUGUCAAGUGUGAUACAAGAACCCUUAAUGUUACAGAAUCACAGAAAUAACGAGGUUGGAAAAGACCUUUGAGAUCAUCAAGUCCAACCUGUGACCUAACACCACCUCAUCAACUAAACCAUGGCACUGAGAGCCACAUCCAGUUUUCAACUGUUCUGUUUGGAAAGAAACUUUUGCUUUAAAACUUUUGACCUGUUCUAGGAAGGCAGAAAUAGCAUUUCCAGCCUCUGUGGCCACUGGGGAAUUUUCUGUGCAGAACAUCCCUGUGUGAAAAAGCUGCUGAAAGCUGUUCCCUGGAACAGAGCCACUUCACUCUCAGCUUCUCCAGCUCCCAUUUCAUGCAGGUGUAAUUGCAUUGGUACUGAGGGCUGUGUUGAGCCAGGCCUGGGUGUUUGCCUGCUGGCUGAG
rnacentral:lncRNA from 1 species